UACGUAGGGGGCAAGCGUUUGUCCGGAUUUAUUGGGCGUAAAGAGCUCGUAGGUGGUUCGGUAAGUCGGAUGUGAAAUCUCCAGGCUCAACCUGGAGGGGUCAUUCGAUACUGCCGUGACUAGAGUUCGGUAGGGGAGUGUGGAAUUCCUGGUGGAGCGGUGAAAUGCGCAGAUAUCAGGAGGAACACCCGUAGCGAAGGCGGCACUCUGGGCCGAUACUGACACUGAGGAGCGAAAGCGUAGGGAGCGAACAGG
rnacentral:rRNA from 1 species